UGGGGAAUAUUGGACAAUGGGCGAAAGCCUGAUCCAGCCAUGCCGCGUGUGUGAAGAAGGUCUUCGGAUUGUAAAGCACUUUAAGUUGGGAGGAAGGGCAGUAAGCGAAUACCUUGCUGUUUUGACGUUACCGACAGAAUAAGCACCGGCUAACUCUGUGCCAGCAGCCGCGGUAAUACAGAGGGUGCAAGCGUUAAUCGGAAUUACUGGGCGUAAAGCGCGCGUAGGUGGUUCGUUAAGUUGAAUGUGAAAGCCCCGGGCUCAACCUGGGAACGGCAUCAAAAACUGGCGAGCUAGAGUAGGGCAGAGGGUGGUGGAAUUUCCUGUGUAGCGGUGAAAUGCGUAGAUAUAGGAAGGAACACCAGUGGCGAAGGCGACCACCUGGGCUCAUACUGACACUGGGGUGCGAAAGCGUGGGGAGCAAACAGG
rnacentral:rRNA from 1 species